rnacentral:rRNA from 1 species
CCUACGGGAGGCAGCAGUGGGGAAUAUUGGGCAAUGGGCGCAAGCCUGACCCAGCAAAGCCGCGUGAAGGAAGAAGGCUCUAGGGUUGUUAAAUUCUUUGACAGGGGAAGAAAAGAAGACAGUACGCUGCCAACAAGCCACGGCUAACUACGGGCCAGCAGCCGCGGUCAUACGUAGGUGGCAAGCGUUGUCCGGAUUUACUGGGGGUAAAGGGCGUGUAGCCGGGAAGGCAAGUCAGAUGUGAAAUCCGGAGGCUCAACCUACGACUUGCAUUUGAAACUGUUUUUCUUGAGUACGUGAGAGGCAGACGGAAUGCGUUGUGUAGCGGUGAAAUGCGUAGAUAUAAGGAGGAACACCAGUUGCGAAGGCGGUCUGCUGGACAGCAACUGACGGUGAGGCGCGAAAGCGUGGGUAGCGAACAGGAUUAGAUACCCCAGUAGUC